UUUGCUCACCCAAAAUUGAAAAACUCUUAUUUGUACACAGACACAAUCUUUCUCAUCCCAACAAAACCCACCGCCCCCUCUCUGUUCAGUCCUUGCCGUGAAAGAAUCCAAUUUACUGUCGAGAAAAAUCCUAGAAAAAUUCCACCCUCUCUUCCAUCUUCUUCUAUACCUCGAUCUGGUUCGCCACUACAAACCACCACCCAGCUGCCGAUAAAUAGAUCCACCCAUUCUAAGGCACAACUGCGCCGCUUUUUUUUAUUUCGCUCUCACCGGAAGAAGCCUGCGUCACCGGAAAAUCCCACUCUUUGGAAAAAUCCCACUACCGUUGUUGGCCACCCCGUCUUCUCUUUUCUUAGGGUUGAUAUUGACGUUUGAGUGAGUAUGACGACAAGUAGCGAUCGAGGAUGGAUGUAUAAGAGGCAAGAGAGUCUCAGAUUUCUUUGUAUGCUUUAUGUUAGAAAAGCUGCACAAUUUUUAGACUUUGCAUACUUGAACGAGGAGACUGUUGAAAGUAAGUUAACAAGAGAAGGUGGGAUAGUAUGCCGAAUCAAAUGUUACACAACAACAAUCACAGGUACAAAUUUUGACCCAAACUAUGGCGGAAAUGCGGGAAAGACAUGAGACACAACAAAGGGAGAUUGUCGAGAUGAAAAAGCGUGUAGAAAAGCAAAAAAGGAAACUAGAAGGUUUUGAAAGCAAAAAGUAAAGCCGGAACAAAGAAAUAAAAGCGACCAUCGCCGCCGUGAUGAAGUUCUUACCCAAUAUGAAGCCACCGGCCUAAAUCUAAAGAUUUAUUAAAAACUUAUUAGUUUGAAUUAUCUUUAAAAUUUUAACUUUUUAAUGAUGUGAAUGAAUGUUUUGUUGACGGAUAUAUUUUUAUUCUUAGGUAAUGGAUUAUAUGUAUUUUCGUAGUUCAGAUAUUGAUUGAUUAGUUGGUUUA